rnacentral:rRNA from 1 species
GAUUUGAUACCCUGGUAGUCCACGCCGUAAACGAUGUCUACUUGGAGGUUGUGGCCUUGAGCCGUGGCUUUCGGAGCUAACGCGUUAAGUAGACCGCCUGGGGAGUACGGUCGCAAGAUUAAAACUCAAAUGAAUUGACGGGGGCCCGCACAAGCGGUGGAGCAUGUGGUUUAAUUCGAUGCAACGCGAAGAACCUUACCUACUCUUGACAUCCAGAGAAGCCAGCGGAGACGCAGGUGUGCCUUCGGGAGCUCUGAGACAGGUGCUGCAUGGCUGUCGUCAGCUCGUGUCGUGAGAUGUUGGGUUAAGU